GCCUAAGUUGGGUCCUGGGAGCGAGGCGGGGAGCUGCGGGGGCCCGAGCGCCCCGGCUCUGUGCGCUGGGCUUCGGGGUCUGCUCCCACGAGCCUGCGCGGGGGAUGGGGGCAGGGUAACUCGCCGCGGGCCCUAGCUGGGAGUCCCUUGGGAAAUCGGGUGUGGGGACCGGAGUGGAGCUGCCCUUUCAGCGGCUGAGUAAGCAGCAGGAUUUAGUCAGUCCUUUUGGACACGGAGCCCCGCUGGGAUGCUCGACGCCUUGGGGCAGGACCCUGGCCAGGGGCAGCUGGAGCAGGGCGCGUGUGACCCGAGAUGUGAAUCCACUGAGCUGAACUGUUUCAUCUCUCCUUAAACCACUCUUGUACCUCAGGUGAGAAGCAGCUUCCAUCACUACAUGCUUGUCUCUAUGGAGGAAAGAGGAGCAGCUGUCUAACUUGACCAAUAUGGUCAGCACGUCUUGAAUGCUUUAUCAGAAUAGGCCAGGACAUCUUAUUUUCUGUUGUUAAUAUAACUCACCAAAAAUUGUCAAAUCCCCUCUUCAUCUGGGACCACCUCAAGACAAGCAACAGAUGUUGGAAGACAUGAAGGAAAGGUCAAGGUAAUCUCAAGAUUACAUAGUUGCUUGGUGGCAAAGCUGGAAAUAGAACACAAAGAUAAGAGUUUAAUCUUUACUGAACUAUUAAUGUGGGCAGAUGUAAUUUUUUUAAAAUCUUCAAUUCUCCUGGCAAGAGAUCAGAGAAAAUCUUCCACCAAACAAUUUUGGAUUUUAAAAUUAAAUAUUAAAAUACCAUACAAUCCACCUUAGAAUUCAUCUAAAUUAGUCUUCUCACCACUGAAUCUUGUCCCUCCUCAAGAAGACCACAGAUGUAAUACUAAUCCUGUCUCCUGCUCUUUAUCUGUUUGCUGAAAAGAAUGAGAUGUUUUACUAUGUAGUGGCAUGCACAUUAAAAUUAAUCGGAGCUCUAAACUGUUACCCAAUAUUCCUCCUGAGCCAUAUCUCUGAAUUUCCCUGGAGAAAUCCUAGGGAAACUGUAAAGAGACUAUGAUAUUUUUUAGACAUAUAAUGUGAUUUGAUUCAUCAAUAAAAUGUUACUCGAGA